UUCAACAGGUGCUAUUCAAUUAUAGUUGAUGGCACAUAUGAUGUAUCGAAAUCAGAAGCAAUAGCUUUGAUAGUGAGAUAUGUUGAAAAUAGCGAGACACCUAAGCCCGUUGAAAGGCUGAUUAGACAUUUAUUGUACGGGAAAUACAACGGGCCUCGAUAUUAAAAAGAAUAUAAUAUCCAAGCUUGGCUCCAUAUAUCUACCCCUCGAAUUCCUAGUGGCCAAAGCUAUGAUGGCACCUCAAACAUGAGUGGAAGAAUUAAUGGAGUGCAGGCUUUGAUUAGAGCGGAGGCGCCAAAGGCAGCUUUUAUUUGGUGCUAUUGUCAUCGAUUAAAUUUAAUAGUUGUUCAAUUAUGCCAAUCAGUAAAAGAGCUGCGAAAUGUCUUGGGAAUAUUAGACGAAAUUUACGUAUAUUUUAAUGAUGUUAAAAGAUAUGAAGUGCUCAAAACAUGUCAGAGUGAUUUACUGACAAAAUCACAUAGAUUUUUACGCAUCAAGAAUACCACUCGAAGCUGGCUAACAUCAUAUAAGGCGAUUGUAAAUUUUUUUCAACUUUAUGAUGCUUUGAGGGCAGCUUUGGCAAAUUUAAAGGAUUCUGAAGAUCCUGCCACUUCCACUAUGGCUAGUGCUAUAGUCUAUAGAAUAGAAAAAUUUUAUUUUAUUUUAUCACUAUGUGUUUUGGAUAAAAUAUUGUUGAUAACAAGCUUGGCUUGUACAAAAUUGCAAACCAUUUCGAAGGAUAUAGGGUUUGCAAUAAAUCAAAUUCAAUUGGCAAAAGAUUGCCUGAUUAAUAUGAGAAGUAUAAUUUAAAUUAUUAUCUUUUAUUAUUUUACAAUCCUAAAAUUGAUAAUAACACUGAAUUUUUGGAUGUCUUUUCAAAGGCCCAAGAUUUUAUAAAGAAGAGAAAUUUACCUUUUGAUUUUGAAAGUUCAAGACUUCAAACAUUACAAUCCAAAAAGGAGAGUUUAGUGAAAGAUUUAACGAUGAAUCGAUAAAAUUUUUGAGUCAAACAUCAUUUUUUACCCCAAAGGGAAUGGCGGAAAAGGCAAUUGUUAAAGAUGAUAUCAAGGAUAUCUGUGAAUUUUAUCAAUUAAAUACAAGUCAAGUUUUUGAGGAAAUGUUGAUGUUUAGAAAUAUUUAUAAAAUGGCUAAAACGGGGGACGUAAUUAUUACUCGUGACCUAGAGGUUAAAGAAGAUUUGUCAGAUUCUGAGAAUUCUUCUUCUGAUGAUGAUAAUAAUUCUGAGAUGAAUGAUUCAGACUGGAGAAACUAUUCAUUUAUUUUACCUUAUCGUCUGCUUAUAAAUUUUUCUGCUUUCCCAAAUUUAACAAUUUUAUAUAAAUAUUUAUUAACUAUUCCUACUACAUCAUGUACUGCCGAAAGGGUCAUGAGUAAAAUUAAAACAAGACUUCGUAGUGUCAUGAAAGAUCCAUUUCUUAAUAAUUUAACCAUUUUAUCAAUGGAAAAUAAUUUAUUUAAACAAUUAAAUAUU